AUGCACCUCAGGUAUCUGAUCCUCGCUGCCUUCCUGAGCCAACCACUGGGUACCAUGGGGCAGAUCACCGUCACCCAGCAAGAAGGACAAGUCACAGUAGAGGAGAAAGACACCUUCCAGACCACCUGCACCUACCAAAGCUCCAGGCCUAAUGCCCUGCUUUGGUACCAGCAGAGGAAAGGCCAAGGUCCCCAGCUGCUCUCAUAUCAGGCAGCAGCUGGCCGCAAGCCGAGCGGCCGUCUCACCACGUCGCUGAACACCACAGGGAAAUACAGCCUCCUGCAGCUGGAGGAAGUCGAGGUCUCUGACAGUGCCUUGUACCUCUGUGCUGUGCAAGACACCCUGGUGCAGGGAGCUUCCUUGGCUGUAUACCAGGGAAAAAACUCUUUCCAUGAAGGUGGUCAAGUGCUGGAGUACUUUGUGCAGAGAGGUUAUGGGAUCUCUGUCAUUGGAAGUGUUCAGAACUUGCCUGGACUCGGCCCUGAGUAA